GACGAACGCUGGCGGCGUGCCUAAUACAUGCAAGUCGAACGCUGAAGGAGGAGCUUGCUUCUCUGGAUGAGUUGCGAACGGGUGAGUAACGCGUAGGUAACCUGCCUGUUAGCGGGGGAUAACUAUUGGAAACGAUAGCUAAUACCGCAUAAUAGUAGAUGUUGCAUGACAUUUGCUUAAAAGGUGCAAUUGCAUCACUACCAGAUGGACCUGCGUUGUAUUAGCUAGUUGGUGGGGUAACGGCUCACCAAGGCGACGAUACAUAGCCGACCUGAGAGGGUGAUCGGCCACACUGGGACUGAGACACGGCCCAGACUCCUACGGGAGGCAGCAGGAGGGAAUCGUCGGCAAUGGACGGAAGUCUGACCGAGAAACGCCGCGUGAGUGAAGAAGGUUGUCGGAUCGUAAAGCUCGGUUGUAAGAGAAGAACGAGUGUGAGAGUGGAAAGUUCACACUGUGACGGUAUCUUACCAGAAAGGGACGGCUAACUACGUG
rnacentral:rRNA from 1 species